rnacentral:rRNA from 1 species
GAUGAACGCUGGCGGCGUGCCUAAUACAUGCAAGUCGAGCGAACGGACGAGAAGCUUGCUUCUCUGAUGUUAGCGGCGGACGGGUGAGUAACACGUGGAUAACCUACCUAUAAGACUGGGAUAACUUCGGGAAACCGUAGCUAAUACCGGAUAAUAUUUUGAACCGCAUGGUUCAAAAGUGAAAGACGGUCUUGCUGUCACUUAUAGAUGGAUCCGCGCUGCAUUAGCUAGUUGGUAAGGUAACGGCUUACCAAGGCAACGAUGCAUAGCCGACCUGAGAGGGUGAUCGGCCACACUGGAACUGAGACACGGUCCAGACUCCUACGGGAGGCAGCAGUAGGGAAUCUUCCGCAAUGGGCGAAAGCCUGACGGAGCAACGCCGCGUGAGUGAUGAAGGUCUUCGGAUCGUAAAACUCUGUUAUUAGGGAAGAACAUAUGUGUAAGUAACUGUGCACAUCUUGACGGUACCUAAUCAGAAAGCCACGGCUAACUACGUGCCAGCAGCCGCGGUAAUACGUAGGUGGCAAGCGUUAUCCGGAAUUAUUGGGCGUAAAGCGCGCGUAGGCGGUUUUUUAAGUCUGAUGUGAAAGCCCACGGCUCAACCGUGGAGGGUCAUUGGAAACUGGAAAACUUGAGUGCAGAAGAGGAAAGUGGAAUUCCAUGUGUAGCGGUGAAAUGCGCAGAGAUAUGGAGGAACACCAGUGGCGAAGGCGACUUUCUGGUCUGUAACUGACGCUGAUGUGCGAAAGCGUGGGGAUCAAACAGGAUUAGAUACCCUGGUAGUCCACGCCGUAAACGAUGAGUGCUAAGUGUUAGGGGGUUUCCGCCCCUUAGUGCUGCAGCUAACGCAUUAAGCACUCCGCCUGGGGAGUACGACCGCAAGGUUGAAACUCAAAGGAAUUGACGGGGACCCGCGCAAGCGGUGGAGCAUGUGGUUUAAUUCGAAGCAACGCGAAGAACCUUACCAAAUCUUGACAUCCUUUGACAACUCUAGAGAUAGAGCCUUCCCCUUCGGGGGACAAAGUGACAGGUGGUGCAUGGUUGUCGUCAGCUCGUGUCGUGAGAUGUUGGGUUAAGUCCCGCAACGAGCGCAACCCUUAAGCUUAGUUGCCAUCAUUAAGUUGGGCACUCUAAGUUGACUGCCGGUGACAAACCGGAGGAAGGUGGGGAUGACGUCAAAUCAUCAUGCCCCUUAUGAUUUGGGCUACACACGUGCUACAAUGGACAAUACAAAGGGCAGCGAAACCGCGAGGUCAAGCAAAUCCCAUAAAGUUGUUCUCAGUUCGGAUUGUAGUCUGCAACUCGACUACAUGAAGCUGGAAUCGCUAGUAAUCGUAGAUCAGCAUGCUACGGUGAAUACGUUCCCGGGUCU